UACAGAGGUCUCGAGCGUGUUCGGAUUCAUUGGGCGUAAAGGGCGCGUAGGCGGCUCGGCACGUCCGUUGUGAAAUCGCCCGGCUCAACUGGGCGGGGUCAGCGGAUACGGCCGAGCUGGAGCAAGCUAGGGGGUAAUGGAAUUCCCGGUGUAGUGGUGGAAUGCGUAGAUAUCGGGAGGAACACCAGUGGCGAAGGCGGUUACCUGGAGCUUUGCUGACGCUGAUGCGCGAAAGCGUGGGGAGCGAACAGG
rnacentral:rRNA from 1 species